AGCAGCCGCGGUAAUUCCAGCUCCAAUAGCGUAUAUUAAAGUUGUUGCAGUUAAAAGCUCGUAGUUGAAUUUCGGGGUUAGUAGGUUGGUCAUGCCUCUGGUAUGUACUGGUCUCACUGAUUCCUCCUUCCUGAUGAACCUUAAUGCCAUUAAUUUGGUGUUUUGGGGAAUUUGGACUGUUACUUUGAAAAAUUGAGUGUUUAAAGCAGGCAUUUUUGCUUGAAUACAUUAGCAUGGAAUAAUAAAAUAGGACGGCAUGGUUCUAUUUUGUUGGUUUCUAGGACCACCGUAAUGAUUAAUAGGGAUAGUUGGGGGCAUUAGUAUUCAAUUGUCAGAGGUGAAAUUCUUGGAUUUAUUGAAGACUAACUACUGCGAAAGCAUUUGCCAAGGAUGUUUUCAUUAAUCAAGAACGAAAGUUAGGGAUCGAAGACGAUCAGAUACCGUCGUAGUCUUAACCAUAAACUAUGCCGAC
rnacentral:misc_RNA from 1 species